ensembl:misc_RNA
GAGGCACCGAUCCCGCUCCGUCAUCGCCCGCAGAGGCCCGCCUUGGCCACGAGCUCGAAGUCCAAUGCCC